UACGUAGGGGGCUAGCGUUGUCCGGAAUUAUUGGGCGUAAAGAGCUUGUAGGCGGUUUGUCGCGUCUGCUGUGAAAAUCCGGGGCUCAACCCCGGACUUGCAGUGGGUACGGGCAGACUAGAGUGUGGUAGGGGAGACUGGAAUUCCUGGUGUAGCGGUGAAAUGCGCAGAUAUCAGGAGGAACACCGAUGGCGAAGGCAGGUCUCUGGGCCACUACUGACGCUGAGAAGCGAAAGCAUGGGGGAGCGAACAGG
rnacentral:rRNA from 1 species